AUGGACGCUGUGGAGUCAUCCACUUCGCCGUACUCGCCGCCUUCGCUGCGCCACAAGCUGCGGACCACCGUGUGCGGCUGCUUCGGCUCGCCGGGCAGCGGCGGGGAGAGGCAGCAAAGCGGGGGCAGGACCAGGUGGAGGCGGCGCGUGGCGGCCGCCGAGGAGUUUAGGUACGAUCCGCUCAGCUACGCGCUCAACUUUGACAACGGCGGCAGCGGCAGUGACGACGGCGUGAAAGCAGAGGACACCGCCUUCCGGUACCGGAACUUCAACUCGCGCCUGCAGCCCUCGCCGGCGCCGGCCUCCGGAGCCGUCGCAGUCGCCUGA
rnacentral:rRNA from 1 species